GGGGGCUCCCGAGAAGGUGCGUUUCCCGCCGCUGGGGCUCCGGCAACCCCGCGGCUGGGGACCCGGGGACCCGGGGACCCGGGGAGCCUCCCCGGAAGCUCCGAGGAGAGGGUUGUUUACCUGCGGCGGCGGCAGGAGAGCUUUGAGGCCGGGAUGUCCUACCAGCCAAGCGGACCGCUGAUUUCCGUGGGAUGCGCGGCCGCGAGACUAUGGACAGAUGACACUGGCGGCCAGCCAGACUCCUCAACGUCGUUUAUGAACUUCUGCCCUCCUUAUUAAAAUGUAAUGUGGGGGGAAGAUGGGAAGCAAGUUACCUUCCUUUCUUUUUCCUGCCCAUCCUCUCAGGCACAGAUACUAAUGAGCAGAGAAGUGAUCAGAAGCCCCGUGAGAGUGAGGGUCUAGCAGUGUGAGGACCUUCAGGCAGGCUAUCGGCCAAAUAAUCUGCCCAUUGAUUGCAAGGAACAGAUAAUGAAUUUCAGCAUAUGGAGCGCAGGGCAUUUCUUAACUCUGAACCGGAGCAGUCUUUGGUGGAAGGAGGCUCGUGAUGUAUCAUUUUGGUGAAUCUAUUAGUUGAGGCUUAAUUUUGCUUUGAAGAGUAAAACCCUAGUCCAGCAUUUUAUAACUGAUGUCACAAGGAAGCUGUGAUGUGGCCAGAUGAAUCACAAUCAUACUGACAAUGCUAAUUGAAACAUUAAAAAGUUUUUAAGAUUCCGAAGUUUGCUUUUUCUCUGAAAAUAAUUUAUCCUGGGUUCAAAACCCUACUGAUCUGUCUUGUUCAUUUGUUUGGGUAACAAAUGAUUUCAUUUGCUCAGGAACCAAAGUUGUACUUAAAGUGUUAAGUUCAUUUGGUUAUAGGUGUUAAAAACACUUGUGUACAUACAUUAAAAAAUUUUUAUGAAUAGUCUGAUUUUUCUACCUGAACUGGAUUUAAAAAAAAAAAAAAAAAUCCAUGCAAAAAAGAUCAGAUUUGUGGUAAC